AUACGGAGGGGACAAGCGUUAUUCGGAAUCACUGGGCGUAAAGGACGCGUAGGCGGGUUUGUAAGUCAGGUGUGAAAUCCUACAGCUCAACUGUAGAACUGCACUUGAAACUACAGACCUAGAGUAUGGAAGGGGCAGAUGGAAUUAGUGGUGUAGGGGUAAAAUCCGUAGAUAUCACUAGGAAUACCGAAAGCGAAGGCGAUCUGCUGGGACAUUACUGACGCUGAGGCGUGAAAGCGUGGGGAGCAAACAGGAUUAGAUACCCCAGUAGUCC
rnacentral:rRNA from 1 species